GAAGACCCCAACAAAUUUUUUUGCGCGACUCGGUGCAAACUCAGUGCUCCGAAAUGGACCGUGGUCUAACUCAGUUGACGACUCGGAGCAGAACUCACCUCGUAAUCUCAUUCGUUGAAAUCCACAUUUUCUUCAGUGCUGUGCUUCUCCAACGCUGUGCCAGGAACUUGAACUUCAUUUGGAAAAAAAAGGGAGAUUCUUGGAGAGAGCUAUUAAAAUAUUGGGUUUUUAACACAUAUUAAAGCCCUGAGAACAUAUGCCCCAUUUGUUAAAAUUACCAUAAAAUGGGUGCAUUGUGUCUCCAUGUGAAGCUACUAAUACUUAAGUUGGACAAUGCCAUCGUGUUCUCCUCUCUCUCACACAUUGUUUAAGGUAGUCAAUGCCGUGUAAUAGGACAGCUGAGCCUCAUAUCCUCUCCAUUUCAUUUGUUUAAUUACUAUAUUGUUGGUGUAUAUAAAGUUAAUAAAUGUUUAAUUUAUGUCACAUGUUUUAAAAAUGUGUGUCAAUAUAGAAAUACAAAAUUAUAAUAAUUGAAUAUUCUAUAUUUUUUGAGAAAUUGAUAAGAUCUCAACUCGUAUUGAGUUAUGUAACAAAAUCCGAUUAGAUGAUUUUUCACACAAUAAUUAGUCUUAAAGAUAGGACUGUCCAAUAUAGUCUAGGUCUAAUGGUGAACUUCACUAUUUUUAAUUAAAUUUUAUUGAAAUAUUAUAUUUUCUUUUUAUUUUUUAUUAUUAUAAAAUUAUUUUUUUACUAAAAAAUAGUAACAGUCUUGACCAUUUUCUGAGAGGUCUAUAUAUUAGACACGCCUCGUAAACAUAAUUGGAUAUUGAUUCCAUAAUUGUGGAACCAGUGGUUGGGUGGAAAAGCUAGAAAGAGAAAGGGAUUGGAGGGAUUAGGUGAGUCCUUUUGGAUUCUUACUAUAAUGUUGGGCAGAUAAGCGUGUAUAUCAUAGCUUAAAUAAAGGAUUACUUUUCCAUUUUUGGAGAGCUAAUUAUGUUAAAGUUAUCUGGACGACCACUCCACCCACCUUUACGGUCCUAAAAUUCUCGGGUUUAAUUUAGGUAAUAGGUAGUAUAGGGUUGUACAAUUUUUCAAACUGAAGUUAUCUUAAUACAAUCAUUGAUGUAUUAUCGGGUCCUUUUUUUAUAUAUAAAAAUUGAUUGAAUUAAGAAAUCAAACGAGGGAGACUCUUGCGUAUAUCAUUGGUUAAUAAAUACUCCAUCGAAAAUGAAAUCUAAAAUGAAAUAUAAGUAAAAAGUAUUUAAAAAGUUGACGUUUCUAUCAAUUUUAAGUACUCAAAGAAGGAAAACUAGAAUCCAAUCAAAAAGUUGUGGAGGAAUGACCUUAAUUAACUAUCAAACUAGUAAAUAUGCACAACAGUUGGUUUGUCUAAAGCCAUGAACUACUGAUAUUCUCCAAUUAGAUUGUUUGCUAAAACCAUUUUUCAAAAAAGCCAGACUUCACCAUGUUAACAAUAACAGCCGAGUUUAGGCAAAACAUCAUCCACUUGAUGUUGAAAAGUCUUCCCUAUUCACGAGUACAUUCUAUUCCUUACAAUAAAUAAUACUUGGAAGUGUCAUAUUUGUACAGAGAAUGAUAAUGUUAUAUUUGGAACCUACUUCCUUGAAAAUGUGUGUAGAAACCUUGAAACUUUAAGUUCUCUUUCAAUUAGGGGUCAUAAAGUUUGUAGUCAUACUUUAUUUAUACAUAGCAGCAUUAGGUGGUGUGUUUUGAAUCUUUUGAUACCAUCUUACAUGAAAUAAACAAUUCAUUCUAGAAGAGUAGAGAGGAAUAUGUAGAAGAAUGCUUCUAACCAUUGCUUAUUGAUGGAAAGGAAAAGCUUGCAUACAUAAACAAUUAAUUAAGUGCAGCUAUACCAUAUAACCCCUAUGAAUAUAAAUGUAUGGAUAACUAAAUAGGUACAAGAGUAACCGUGACCCUGUCUCAUUUGAUUGAAAGCUUUUUAUGCAUCAUUUGGAGCUAUUUUAAACAGCUACAUCACAUUCGCAUGAACGAUUGUGGUUAGAAAAA